rnacentral:misc_RNA from 1 species
GUGAAUCAUCGAAUUUUUGAACGCAAAUUGCACUCUCCUCGGAGAGUAUGCCUGUUUGAGGGUCAGCCUAUAAAAAAUCGACAUCGUUGCUGUUUCGCGGUGGCGCUCGUCCGACAUUGGGCCCUCUUAAAUCCUUUUGAUUUUAGCGACUUACAUUUUUCUUUUGGUUCCAUGAACGUUUCUAAGAUCUAUUCCUUUACACGUUUAUGGUCUC